UACGUAGGGUGCAAGCGUUGUCCGGAAUUAUUGGGCGUAAAGAGCUCGUAGGCGGUUUGUUGCGUCGGCUGUGAAAAUCCCCGAGGCUCAACCUCGGGUCUGCAGUCGAUACGAGCAAACUAGAGUGUUGCAGGGGAGACUGGAAUUCCUGGUGUAGCGGUGAAAUCGCGCAGAUAUCAGGAGGAACACCGGUGGCGAAGGCGGGUCUCUGGGCAACAACUGACGCUGAGGAGCGAAAGCGUGGGGAGCGAACAGG
rnacentral:rRNA from 1 species